CUCUCAUUCUAAACUAUUACUCUCGAAUAACUCAACCCUCUCUCUUUCGUUUUUAACCUGUCCUUUCUUAUGCACAACCUUCUCACCCCCUCAUUUUUCAAUUGUCUUCCUCUUACUCACUGUUACUGUCAACCCUCUUUUUCUUACUCACAACUCCCGCUCCUUCACUCUUUUUGUCUCUUCAUUCUGAUAUAUUCUCUUUCUUCUCAUCUCUUUAUCCCGCUCUGUCUUUCUCUAUUUUUCGUCAUCCACUGCAACUCGUUCGGUAGAUCUCUUAUUCGUGUAUUCUUUCUUAGUUAAAAAAUAAUCAGGAGGAAAAAAAAACGCAAAACAAUCGACAAUAACAGACAAAAAAAUUUAUUCCCUCAGUUUAUUCAUUUAUUCGUUUAUUCAUUUCGAACAGGUUUUCUCUAUUCCCUCUAUUCGUUCAUUCAUUUCCGAACGCGUGUUAUUGUUUCACGUCAACUGAAAACCCGUAAGAAGAGUACUAAAUUGUCGAACGCUGGUAAUAUAAUAAUAAUGGUUGCUAUUGACUGCUUCUUCUUCUGCUGCUGGUUUACUUAAUUAGCUUCGUCGGGGGGAAAGAGAGAGAAAGAGAGUGAGAAAGACAGAAAGUGAGAAAGAAAGAAAGAAAAGGAGAGAGUGAGAGAGAGAGAAAAAAAAAAGCACAAAAUAAAAACAAAACAAAAAUUGACUGUGAAUUGGACGAUGGAUGUGGAACAGUUCUGAAAAAUAUAAUAUAACGGAGUUUAAAUGCCGGAUAAAAUAUUUUAGGGUUUUAAACCUGAACAGCUUUUUUCUUUCUUUCAUAGUAAUAUCUUCUGGCUUUUAAAAGCAGUGAGUAAUUUUCCACACCGGAGUUUUUACAAAUAACAGUUUGGAUUCUGGUCAAUGCGUGUUGCCUAGGAAUAAAUAAAAAUAUAUAAUAAUAAUAAUAAACUAGAAAGAAGAGAUUCUGAAAUUGCAACAAAUUGACUCUGAUCUGAAGAGUAUGUUCUAGGUUUCUGUUUCUACUUCAAGUCCAUCAAUGUAGGGACUUAUCCUGCAUAUCCUGUUCUAAAGAGAUCUUACUCGGGGAGAUCUCUUCUUUCAUAGAGCAGGAGACAAUGAAUUAAUGCUAAACAGUUACCCUUGUAGAGUGGCUAACAUCCUCUCUAGUAAAUAUUGGAUUGAAUGCCAAUGUAUAACCCAGGUUUUUCAUGACUGCUAACUAAGCUAUACUCUGAGACCAGC
rnacentral:lncRNA from 1 species